GAUGAACGCUGGCGGCGUGCCUAAUACAUGCAAGUCGAGCGAACAGACGAGGAGCUUGCUCCUCUGACGUUAGCGGCGGACGGGUGAGUAACACGUGGAUAACCUACCUAUAAGACUGGGAUAACUUCGGGAAACCGGAGCUAAUACCGGAUAAUAUAUUGAACCGCAUGGUUCAAUAGUGAAAGACGGUUUUGCUGUCACUUAUAGAUGGAUUCGCGCCGCAUUAGCUGGUUGGUAAGGUACCGGCUUACCAAGGGGACGAUGCGUAGCCGAGGGGAGAGGAGGAGCGCCAACAGUAGGAGUGGGACACGCCCAAGACCCCGACGGGAGGGAGGAGUGUGGAAUAUUGGGCAAGGGGCGCAAGUUUGAUACAGCCACACGGAGUGGGUGAAGAAGGUCUUGGGGUCGAAAAGCUCUUUUUUUGGGAAAAAAAAGAAUUAGACUAAUAUACCGCUGUCUUGAGGGUACCUAAUAAAAAAGCAACGGCUAACUACGUG
rnacentral:rRNA from 1 species